ACCAGAAGCAAAGAUUACUUUUUAUAUUGACAAGAGAGCCGAGUGACCACUCUAACAAUGGAAAUAGAUGUGCUCAACGAAUGAAGACAGGCAAGAUCAGGUGGGACCAUUCUAGCCAAUGAGAGGGCAGUUGUGUUGAAAGCACCAUCAAUCCAGAGAAUGCCAGAAUUUGAUGACAAAUUUUUCCCACGAAGGACCGCCGCUCCACCUUCCCGUUCAUGUGAGCACAUCACAAACAGGUCCUGAGGCAUCAAAGCAUCACU